rnacentral:misc_RNA from 1 species
GAAAUGCGAUAAGUAGUGUGAAUUGCAGAAUUCAGUGAAUCAUCGAAUCUUUGAACGCACAUUUCGCCCCUUGGUAUUCCAUGGGGCAUGCCUGUUCGAGCGUCAUUUGUACCCUCAAGCUUUGCUUGGUGUUGGGCGUUUUGUCAUCUUCUGGAGGACUCGCCUUAAAACAAUUGGCAGACGGCAUAUUGGUAUCGGAGCGCAGCACAAGUCGCCCUCCUUUCCAUGAAUGUUGGCGUCCAUCAAGACUAUUUUUGCACUCUUGACCUCGGAUCAGGUAGGGAUACCCGCUGAACUUCA